UACGAAGGGGGCUAGCGUUGCUCGGAAUCACUGGGCGUAAAGGGUGCGUAGGCGGGUCUUUAAGUCAGGGGUGAAAUCCUGGAGCUCAACUCCAGAACUGCCUUUGAUACUGAAGAUCUUGAGUUCGGGAGAGGUGAGUGGAACUGCGAGUGUAGAGGUGAAAUUCGUAGAUAUUCGCAAGAACACCAGUGGCGAAGGCGGCUCACUGGCCCGAUACUGACGCUGAGGCACGAAAGCGUGGGAGCGAACGAG
rnacentral:rRNA from 1 species